rnacentral:tRNA from 1 species
GAAGGUAAAGCUCAAGUGGUAGAGUGCAUGCUUAGCAUGCAUGAGGUCCUGGGUUCAAUACCUAGUACCCCCU